AGGAGGAUCGGGAUUGGACGGGGAUCUGUGGAUGGUGGGGCGGCGCCGAGAUCCGUCGUCGUCGUCUCCGCUCAAACUCGGCUCUCCAAUUUCUUCUCUUCUCGGAUUGGGUUAGAUUCUCAGACCCCGCAUGCCAAUGAGUUGUCCCAAAUUCUGUGGAUUGGUCCUGUUCCGGGUGACAUUGCCGAAGUCGAGGCGUACUGUCGAAUCUUUCGAGCUGCGGAACAACUCCAUUCUUCUAUUAUGAACACUGUAUGCAACCCAGAGACGGGGGAAUGCGGUGUUUCAUACGAGACUCCCUCUGAGGAAAUGGCUGUUUUGGAGGAGAAAGUGGUUGCAGUACUUGGCUGUAUGUUGGUUUUAUUGAAUAGAGGACGAGAAGACGUCCUUUCAGGGAGAUCCACUUACAUGAACUCAUUUAAGUUAACAGAUGUGAACAUAUUAGAAGGGAAGCUCCCGCCACUUGCUAUUUUCAGAGGUGAGAUGAAGAGGUGCUGCGAGAGCUUGCAAGUCGCACUCACAAAGUAUUUAUCACCGUCUGAUACCCGCAGUAUUGAUGUCUGGAGGAGGUUGCAGAGACUGAAGAAUGUUUGUUACGAUGCGGGUUUCUCCCGGUCAGAUGGCUCUCCUUGCCCGACAAUUUUCGCAAACUGGUGUCCAGUUUACUUCUCAAUUUCGAAAGAAGAUUCAGUGAUGGAAAAUUCUGAAGUAGCAUUUUGGAGAGGAGGUCAGGUAACAGAUGAAGGUCUGGUGUGGUUGCUAGAAAAGGGAUUUAAAACUAUUGUUGACCUCAGGGAGGAGAAUGUAAAAGACGAGUACUACCAGCCUGCUAUCGAAGAAGCUGUUUCAUGUGGGAAGAUAGAGGUGGUGAAUCUGCCCGUUGAAGCUGGAACUGCUCCUUCAAUGGAUCAGGUCCAGCAUUUUGCUUCAUUGGUUUCAGACUCCAAUAGGAGGCCAAUCUAUCUUCAUAGUCAAGAAGGAGUUAAUAGAACUUCUGCUAUGGUUUCAAGAUGGAGGCAGUUCAUUACACGUUCUUUGAAGCAGAGUGUCCCGAAUCGCCCCCUUAAUUUAAAUGGCAAACCAUUUAACGAUGGCAAGAAUGAGGACUUGGAGAAUAAAAAUGAGUCUUUGUCAGUCUUAGAUACAGCCAAUCAUUAUGCGGGUACAAGUAGCGAAGUAGUUGGCUCGGAUGUACGCAUGGAACUUCCAAACAGGAAUUUAUCAAAUGGACUUGCCUCCUUGCAAAAUACUGCAGCUGUACAUGGUACGGAGACUGCUGCAUCAGAAUCUUUUAUUGCUAAUAAUCCUCUGAAGGCACAAUUUCCAAAAUGUGAUGUCUUCUCUAGAAAAGAAAUGGCUCAAUUUUUAAAAAGCAGGGAAAUAUCUCCUAAAACUUACCUUAAGUGUCAGAAGACAAGAAUCGAUAGAUUGCUUAUAUCAGGGGAAACUAAUGAACUAAAAGCUGAAAGGAAUGCAAUUCUGCAGGAAUCCCAGUCAUCAGGGUUGACGGAUUUAGGAAGUAGGUCACCUGCGGAUAAUAAAUACAUUGUAAGGUCAAAUGCUCUUAGCAUUAUCAAUGGCAAAUUAGUAAGCAAUGGAAGUUCCGCAUCUUUUGGCUUGAAUGGCAAUGGUAUGGAUGGUCAAGAGAGAUACGGAGGCAAUAAUUUCAGUCAAAACAAUUUGGCUGCAGCUGUGAAAGAAAACACAAGAAAUGCUGUCAUUAAUUCGGAAGGUUGCAGUUUGGAUCUUGUUGAGGGAAACAUGUGUGCUUCUGCGACUGGUGUUGUUAGAGUUCAAUCAAGGAAGAAGGCGGAAAUGUUUUUAGUGCGAACAGACGGAUAUACUUGUACCAGAGAAAAAGUAACAGAAUCCUCUUUGGCUUUCACACAUCCCAGCACCCAGCAGCAAAUGCUUAUGUGGAAGUCUCCUCCAAAGACGGUCUUACUACUAAAAAAGUUAGGAAAGGAGCUCAUGGAGGAAGCUAAAGAGGUUGCAUCCUUUCUGUACCAUCAGGAGAGAAUGAAUGUUCUUGUAGAGCCUGAUGUGCACGAUAUAUUUGCAAGAAUCCCAGGCUAUGGUUUUAUCCAAACAUUUUACAGUCAAGAUACAAGUGACCUUCAUGAGAGGGUUGAUCUCGUGGCAUGUUUGGGUGGCGAUGGUGUUAUUUUGCAUGCCUCAAACAUAUUCAGAGGUGCAGUCCCUCCUGUGGUCUCCUUUAAUCUUGGAUCUCUUGGGUUUCUCACGUCACAUACUUUUGAAGAUUACAGACAAGACCUGACGGCGGUCAUUCAUGGCAACAAAACAUUGGAUGGAGUUUACAUAACUCUUAGGAUGCGUCUCCGAUGUGAAAUCUUUCGCAAUGGAAAAGCAAUGCCUGGCAAAGUAUUCGAUGUUUUGAAUGAAAUCGUUGUGGAUCGUGGUUCUAACCCUUAUCUUUCCAAAAUCGAAUGUUAUGAGCACAACCGCCUCAUUACUAAAGUGCAAGGUGAUGGGGUUAUAGUAGCUACUCCUACUGGAAGCACCGCUUACUCAACUGCUGCAGGAGGUUCAAUGGUCCACCCAAAUGUUCCAUGCAUGCUGUUUACUCCAAUUUGCCCACAUUCUCUGUCGUUUAGACCUGUCAUACUUCCUGAUUCUGCACAACUUGAACUAAAGAUUCCAGAGGACACAAGAAGCAAUGCUUGGGUUUCUUUUGAUGGCAAAAGAAGACAGCAACUCUCUAGAGGAGAUUCUGUUCGCAUAUGCAUGAGCGAGCACCCGCUGCCUACUGUUAAUAAGUCAGAUCAAACAGGUGAUUGGUUCCGUAGCUUAAUUAGAUGUUUAAAUUGGAAUGAAAGACUAGAUCAAAAGGCAUUGUGACGAUACAGGCCUGGUUCUUCCCCCCCAAGAAUUGUACAUACCUGUACAUGUUCUCCUAAAUGAUCCCACAACAGGGUAUCUUCAACAUGUCAAUCGUUUCCUUCGUAUUCCAGCCGCAACAUAACUGAAAAGGCAAGGGAAAAGCAUAAAUCAACCCAUCUAUUAAAUCCGUUAGCUACCGUCUGAUGAUUCUAUGAGUUUAUCCUUGUAUGCGAUUCUGACAAUAUGGGGAGCCCUAGCUGAAAAAGAAUGAAUUAUCGUAAUCAGAAGAUUGGUCUCUUUUUAAUCUAGAGGUUAUAUGGUGCUUCGUUGUCUAAA